GAUGAACGCUAGCUACAGGCUUAACACAUGCAAGUCGAGGGGUAACGAGAGGAAAGCUUGCUUUCCUUGUCGACGACCGGCGCACGGGUGAGUAACGCGUAUCCAACCUGCCCCCAACUAGGGAAUAACCUUGCGAAAGUAAGACUAAUACCCUAUAAUUUCCUCAGAUGACAUCUGACGAGGAAUAAAGAUUUAUCGGUUGUGGAUGGGGAUGCGUCUGAUUAGCUUGUUGGCGGGGUAACGGCCCACCAAGGCAACGAUCAGUAGGGGUUCUGAGAGGAAGGUCCCCCACAUUGGAACUGAUACACGAUCCAAACUCCUACGGGAGGCAGCAGUGAGGAAUAUUGGUCAAUGGGCGGAAGCCUGAACCAGCCAAGUAGCGUGCAGGAUGACGGCCUAUGGGUUGUAAACUGCUUUUAUACAGGAAUAAAGUUAGCCACGUGAGGUUAUUUGUAGGUACUGUAUGAAUAAGGACCGGCUAAUUCCGUGCCAGCCGCCGCAGUAA
rnacentral:rRNA from 1 species